rnacentral:rRNA from 1 species
CUGGCGGCGGGCCUAACACAUGCAAGUCGAACGAACUUGACCUUCGGGUCAUAUAGUGAGUGGCGAACGGGUGAGUAACACGUGAGAAACCUGCCCCGAAGACUGGAACAACCCGAGGAAACUCGGGCUAAUACCGGAUACCCCCAUCGGAUCGCAUGAUCUGAUGAGGAAAUGCUCCGGCGCUUCGGGAGGGUCUCGCGGCCUAUCAGCUAGUUGGUGAGGUAAUGGCUCACCAAGGCAACGACGGGUAGCUGGUCUGAGAGGACGAUCAGCCACACUGGGACUGAGACACGGCCCAGACUCCUACGGGAGGCAGCAGUGGGGAAUAUUGCGCAAUGGGCGAAAGCCUGACGCAGCCACGCCGCGUGCGGGAUGAAGGCCCUAGGGUUGUAAACCGCUUUAGGCAGGGAAGAAAAUGACGGUACCUGCAGAAUAAGGUCCGGCCAACUACGUGCCAGCAGCCGCGGUAACACGUAGGGACCGAGCGUUGUCCGGAUUUAUUGGGCGUAAAGAGCUCGUAGGCGGUUCGGUAAGUCAGGUGUGAAAGCUCGAGGCUCAACCUCGAGAUGCCACCUGAUACUGCCGUGACUUGAGUCCGGUAGAGGAGUGUGGAAUUCCUGGUGUAGCGGUGAAAUGCGCAGAUAUCAGGAGGAACACCAAUUGCGAAGGCAGCACUCUGGGCCGGUACUGACGCUGAGGAGCGAAAGCGUGGGGAGCGAACAGGAUUAGAUACCCUGGUAGUCCACGCCGUAAACGUUGGGCACUAGGUGUGGGAUCGAACUAACCGAUUCCGUGCCGUAGCUAACGCAUUAAGUGCCCCGCCUGGGGAGUACGGCCG